UCAUCUGCUAAGCACAGCUCUCGCAUCCCUUUCCAUUAUCGCUCAUGGCUUCCCGGUUCUUGUCCUUACCAGAGACUGACCAGGUUCUUUUUGAAGAAAGCCCAGGUGUGCGAAAGAUAAUACUAAAUAGACCCAAAAAAUUAAAUAGUCUCUCUUACGAAAUGAAUACGCUUUUGACUACAACUAUAUCAAUGAUUGACAUAUGAGGCAAAAGUGAUAAUAUUCAUGG